rnacentral:rRNA from 1 species
UACGUAGGGAGCGAGCGUUGUCCGGAUUCAUUGGGCGUAAAGAGCUCGUAGGCGGCUUGGUAAGUCGGAUGUGAAACCUCCAGGCUCAACCUGGAGUCGCCAUCCGAUACUGCCAUGGCUAGAGUCCGGUAGGGGCCCACGGAAUUCCUGGUGUAGCGGUGAAGUGCGCAGAUAUCAGGAGGAACACCGGUGGCGAAGGCGGUGGGCUGGGCCGGCACUGACGCUGAGGAGCGAAAGCGUGGGGAGCGAACAGG